rnacentral:rRNA from 1 species
AGAACGAACGCUGGCGGCAGGCUUAACACAUGCAAGUCGAGCGCCCCGCAAGGGGAGCGGCAGACGGGUGAGUAACGCGUGGGAACCUACCCAAUUCUACGGAACAACUGAGGGAAACUUCAGCUAAUACCGUAUACGCCCCAAGGGGGAAAGAUUUAUCGGAGUUGGAUGGGCCCGCGUUGGGUUAGCUAGUUGGUGGGGUAAUGGCCUACCAAGGCGACGAUCCAUAGUUGGUCUGAGAGGAUGAUCAGCCACACUGGGACUGAGACACGGCCCAGACU